AACAUGCUUCCUUAGAUCCGCCUUUGUGGAUGAAUCUUAAACUGAGUUCUACUGGUAAACGUCCCGUUUCUUGUAGUUCCAGUUAUAGAGACAUCCGGCAACUUUUCUGGUUGUACAGUCAAAGGUGCUUGAGUCAUUGGCAUGUGAGAGAAGUACACCUGCUUGCUAGUCCAACGUUCUGAUGGAAAUGGCAUACGGUUGUGAUGUCAGUUGGUACUGUCAGGACCAGACUGGUGUGCGGACACU
rnacentral:snoRNA from 13 species